rnacentral:rRNA from 1 species
UACGGAGGGGGCGAGCGUUAUUCGGAAUUAUUGGGCGUAAAGGGCGCGUAGGCGGCUGUACAAGUCAAAGGUGAAAUCCCUCGGCUCAACUGAGGAACUGCCUUUGAAACUGUACGGCUUGAGGCCGGGAGGGGGUAGCGGAAUUCCCAGUGUAGCGGUGAAAUGCGUAGAUACUGGGAGGAACACCAGUGGCGAAGGCGGCUACCUGGACCGGUUCUGACGCUGAGGCGCGAAAGCGUGGGGAGCAAACAGG